CAAACUCUCCCUUAAACUCAUUAGCAGAUUGCUCACAUAUGACUUGGCCCUUGGAGUUGACCUCUGGUCCAAUUACCCAGGGGUUAGUUCUUCCAUAGGCUUCUUUAUGAAUAACUGGCUGAGAAAUGUCCAUGUAGUGUCCAACUCCUACAAGAUGUUCUCAGCAGGCACAAAGCAAGUGAAGAUCCAUAAUGGAUUUAGACCAACAUCAAAGGAUCAGUUCAUACAUGAACACACUGCAUCCUAUAGAGAAACCUAAAGCAAUCAAGGGCACAGAACAAUACCUUGAAGGAAGAGUUCAGAAUGCUGUUUUGCCGGGGCGAGUCUUAAGGUGGGAGGAAGGAGGCUUCAUUUCCCUCCUAAUUGUCGCUGCUGCUUUUGAUUUGCUUCCUGCUUCCCCCACCUUUUAAAAUGCUACAUCAUGAGUAUCUUCCU
rnacentral:lncRNA from 1 species